rnacentral:rRNA from 1 species
GAUUAAGUAGAAAAGAGCACACGGAGAAUGCCUUGGCACUAGGAGCCGAAGAAGGACGUGACAAACGACGAAACGCUACGGGAAGACGUAAGUAAUCAAAGAUCCGUAGAUAUCCGAAUGGGGCAACCCGGCAGAAAUAAAAAGCUGUCACCCGA